rnacentral:rRNA from 1 species
GACAGAGGUGCCGAGCGUUAGGCGGAAUCACUGGGCUUAAAGCGUGUGUAGGCGGAUGCCUAAGUACCUUGUGAAAUCCCACGGCUUAACCGUGGAACUGCUUGGUAUACUGGGUGUCUUGGGCCAUCUAGGGGCUAGCGGAACAAACGGUGGAGCGGUGAAAUGCGUAGAUAUCGUUUGGAACGCCAAUGGUGAAAACAGCUAGCUGGGGAUGUGCCGACGCUGAGACACGAAAGCCAGGGGAGCGAACGGG